AGCCGGGCGGCCCGACGGCGGGCACACCGGGGCUGUUGGCCUCGAGUGAGGUGUUCGGCGUCGCCUCCCGGUAG
rnacentral:tRNA from 1 species